UAUUAUUAGCUACUGGUCAUACCAAGGCUGUAGCAAGGGCGUUUUGUAACGUGUUAUUUCUUUCAAAAGUUACAUAGUCUUUCUUGUUUUAUUCUUAAGAAACUGAAGUUGGUCUGUGAUGCAUCGUUCACUGUGCCAACUCCAACUGGCUCAAAACCCCUUUAGUGUGCAGUAGAUUGUAAAACGUUAAACCAUGUCUGAAUGUAUUGCUGAGCUGGUGGUAACGCCACAAAAAACAUUACAAACAUUAAUGUGGAGAUGGUUUUGACAGAGUUGAAUAAUAUUAGAGCUGUACCGCGCUGAGUUGUGGUAUCUAUUUAUCUACAGAGUCGAAUGUGUAUAUUGUGUACAUAGAAAGAAUUUAACUAAAAACAAUCUAUUGAAAAUACUUAUAGAUUUUACCUAUAUUGCAAUGAUAUUCCUGUGUAAAGACUUUGGCUACUAAUUUUUAAAAAGGGGAUGGGUUUUUUGCUUUGGGUUACUGUAUGCUUUUCUCCCUUGCAGUCCCUGUGACUAAAUGAAAAAAA